UACAGAGGUCCCAAGCGUUGUUCGGAUUCAUUGGGCGUAAAGGGUGCGUAGGCGGCGCGGUAAGUCGGGUGUGAAAUCUCGGGGCUUAACUCCGAAACUGCAUUCGAUACUGCCGUGCUUGAGGACUGGAGAGGAGACUGGAAUUUACGGUGUAGCGGUGAAAUGCGUAGAUAUCAGGAGGAACACCGGUGGCGAAGGCGGGUCUCUGGGCCGAUACUGACGCUGAGGAGCGAAAGCGUGGGGAGCGAACAGG
rnacentral:rRNA from 1 species